rnacentral:tRNA from 1 species
GCGCACGUGGCGAAAUUGGUAGACGCGCAGCCUUGAGGGGGCUGUUUUCGCAAGAAAGUGGAAGUUCGAAUCUUCUCGUGCGCAC